CAUCAAUUAUCACAUCGCAUGAUCUAUUUUUAUUUCUAUUUUUCGUGUCUCCGAGAGCGUUUAAGGUGGUGGUGGUAUACUCGGUUUUUGUUAUCGAUCAAUGAUGGCUUUGAUGGAAACGCUUCAUCUCCUCUGUUCUAACGUCUUUAGGGGUUUUGGAUGCUUCUUUUAUCGAUGAGAGUGAUAGCUUUGAUGGACACGCUUCUUCUUCUCUGCUAACGUCUUCUAGGAUUUUGUUCUUCCUCUUAACACCACGUCUUUUUACUUCUUUUCUUGUUUGUUUUGUUCCUUAUGUUUCUGUCUUCGUU